GCGCCUGUGGCCUAAUGGAUAAGGCACUGGCCUCCGGAGCCAGUCAUACCCGUUCAACUCGGGUCAGGCGCG
rnacentral:tRNA from 1 species